AUUGAACGCUGGCGGCAGGCCUAACACCUGCAAGUCGAGCGAGCGGCGGACGGGUGAGUAAUGUAUGGGGAUCUGCCCGAGAGAGGGGGAUAACUACUGGAAACGGUGGCUAAUACCGCAUACUAUCGGCUGACCCCAUAUGGGAUUAGCUAGUUGGUGAGGUAAAGGCUCACCAGCCGACGAUCUCUAACUGGUCUGAGAGGAUGACCAGUCACACUGGGACGGAGACACGGCCCCAACUCCUACGGGAGGCAGCAGUGGGGAAUAUUGCGCAAUGGGGGCAACCCUGACGCAGCCAUGCCGCGUGAAUGAAGAGGGCCUUCGGGUUGUAAAGUUCUUUCGGUAGCGAGGCGUUAACUACAGAAGAAGCACCGGCUAACUCCGUGCCAGCAGCCGCGGUAAUAC
rnacentral:rRNA from 1 species